rnacentral:rRNA from 1 species
GGUCAAGCGACUAAGUGCAUCUGGUGGAUGCCUUGGCGAUCACAGGCGAUGAAGGACGUGCAAGCCUGCGAAAAGCAGUGGGGAGCUGGCAAUGGAGCUUUGAUCCACUGAUAUCCGAAUGGGGAAACCCCUCCGCAAGGAGAUCCUGCGCUGAAUAUAUAGGCG